rnacentral:rRNA from 1 species
AGUGAACGCUGGCGGUAGGCCUAACCCAUGCAAGUCGACCGGCAGCACAGUAAGAGCUUGCUCUUACGGGUGGCGAGUGGCGGACGGGUGAGGAAUACAUCGGAAUCUACUUUUUCGUGGGGGAUAACGUAGGGAAACUUACGCUAAUACCGCAUACGACCUACGGGUGAAAGCAGGGGAUCUUCGGACCUUGCGCGAUUGAAUGAGCCGAUGUCGGAUUAGCUAGUUGGCGGGGUAAAGGCCCACCAAGGCGACGAUCCGUAGCUGGUCUGAGAGGAUGAUCAGCCACACUGGAACUGAGACACGGUCCAGACUCCUACGGGAGGCAGCAGUGGGGAAUAUUGGACAAUGGGCGCAAGCCUGAUCCAGCCAUACCGCGUGGGUGAAGAAGGCCUUCGGGUUGUAAAGCCCUUUGGUUGGGAAAGAAAAACAGCAGGUUAAUACCCCGCUGUUCUGACGGUACCCAAAGAAUAAGCGCCGGCUAACUUCGUG